rnacentral:rRNA from 1 species
CGGAGGGUGCGAGCGUUAAUCGGAAUUACUGGGCGUAAAGGGUGCGUAGGUGGUUGAGUAAGUUAUCUGUGAAAGCCCAGGGCUUAACCUUGGAGGGUCGAGAUAAGACUAUUUAGCUAGAGUAUGAGAGAGGGUAGUGGAAUUUCCGGUGUAGCGGUGAAAUGCGUAGAGAUCGGAAGGAACACCAGUGGCGAAGGCGGCUACCUGGCUUAAUACUGACACUGAGGCACGAAAGCGUGGGGAGCAAACAGGAUU